rnacentral:rRNA from 1 species
UGGGGAAUUUUGGACAAUGGGCGAAAGCCUGAUCCAGCAAUGCCGCGUGUGUGAAGAAGGCCUUCGGGUUGUAAAGCACUUUUGUCCGGAAAGAAAUCCUUGGCUCUAAUACAGUCGGGGGAUGACGGUACCGGAAGAAUAAGCACCGGCUAACUACGUGCCAGCAGCCGCGGUAAUACGUAGGGUGCAAGCGUUAAUCGGAAUUACUGGGCGUAAAGCGUGCGCAGGCGGUUUGCUAAGACCGAUGUGAAAUCCCCGGGCUCAACCUGGGAACUGCAUUGGUGACUGGCAGGCUAGAGUAUGGCAGAGGGGGGUAGAAUUCCACGUGUAGCAGUGAAAUGCGUAGAGAUGUGGAGGAAUACCGAUGGCGAAGGCAGCCCCCUGGGCCAAUACUGACGCUUAUGCACGAAAGCGUGGGGAGCAAACAGGAUUAGAUACCCUGGUAGUCCACGCCCUAAACGAUGUCAACUAGUUGUUGGGGAUUCAUUUCCUUAGUAACGUAGCUAACGCGUGAAGUUGACCGCCUGGGGAGUACGGUCGCAAGAUUAAAACUUAAAGGAAUUG